rnacentral:tRNA from 10 species
GGGGGAUUAGCUCAGCUGGGAGAGCACCUGCCUUGCACGCAGGGGGUCAAGAGUUCGAAUCUCUUAUUCUCCACCA